GAUGAACGCUGGCGGCGUGCUUAACACAUGCAAGUCGAACGUGAUUUUUGUGGAAAGCCCUUCGGGGACGGAAAUGAAAUGAAAGUGGCGAACGGGUGAGUAACACGUGAGCAACCUACCUUACACAGGGGGAUAGCCGUUGGAAACGACGAUUAAUACCGCAUGAGACCACAAAGCCACAUGGCUUAGGGGUAAAAGAUUUAUCGGUGUAAGAUGGGCUCGCGUCUGAUUAGCUAGUUGGAAGGGUAAAGGCCUACCAAGGCAACGAUCAGUAGCCGGUCUGAGAGGAUGAACGGCCACAUUGGAACUGAGACACGGUCCAAACUCCUACGGGAGGCAGCAGUGGGGAAUAUUGCACAAUGGGGGGAACCCUGAUGCAGCGACGCCGCGUGAGCGAAGAAGGUUUUCGAAUCGUAAAGCUCUGUCCUAUGAGAAGAUAAUGACGGUAUCAUAGGAGGAAGCCCCGGCUAAAUAUGUGCCAGCAGCCGCGGUAAUACGUAUGGGGCGAGCGUUGUCCGGAAUUAUUGGGCGUAAAGGGUACGUAGGCGGUUUUUUAAGUCAGGUGUGAAAGCGUGAGGCUUAACCUCAUUAAGCACUUGAAACUGGAAGACUUGAGUGAAGGAGAGGAAAGUGGAAUUCCUAGUGUAGCGGUGAAAUGCGUAGAUAUUAGGAGGAAUACCGGUGGCGAAGGCGACUUUCUGGACUUUUACUGACGCUCAGGUACGAAAGCGUGGGGAGCAAACAGG
rnacentral:rRNA from 1 species